AGUAAAACGAUUCGCGAUUCGUGAAUCGUUUAGAAUAGAUGGUUCAUACACGCACUUAAUUACUUGAAGCGGUAAAACUAUAACACGAAUAAGAAGUACAAAAACACUAGAUAAAGUGGGAAUAUGUACCUAUCCAUUAAAAAAAAAGCCUGAAAAGUGUCCUACCGUUUGCCUGUGAUGGAGAAGAUCAUGAUUAAGGGCAACACCUGCAGCUUGUGAACGACUCAGGUACGUUGAAGAAUCCACAGUCUUCUGUCAUCUCUUCCCCAUUCUCAGAGGGGUUUCCUGCACCAGCUUCCUUCCUUUGAGGUGCUAAUCAGCUAACGCAAGAUCUGAAGUGGAUGCCAGUAGUGGUUGUCUGUGAGCCCCGCCCCCUUUCAAGCAGGCCCCCAGCAAGAGACACUGAGCCCAUUAGCAUGAGGAGAGCACUUGAGUGCCAGCGCUACAAGCAAAGAGGAAGCCCAAAGAAAGGAAAGGUACCAAGAUGGCCAGGUUUCUCUUAUUCAGAAGCCUGUCUGCCUUGUCCUGGAAAAAGAAGGAGCUGUUACACAAAACCAGGGUUGGUACAGCAUGCUACUGAAAAAAGAUUGUGUAGGAGGGUUGAUGAAUGGAAAGAGCUAGAGGAUGAACGUGGGGAGAGGGGAAUGAACACCAUUUUUCUUCCCGCGCUACCUCAAGUUCUCGCAGGAUCCCGGAUUGGCCGCACGUCUCCAAGUCUUCGAGCGCUUGGGACCAGAAGUUCUCUUCCUGGUCAGGCUCAGUCCCGUCGUGUCCCACAGUGAACCUGUUUGAAACACAAAAGGGACUUAUUGACCGCCUGGUACAUCAAAACAGCAGCAGGCAAUGAGCAGGCAGGUGUCACUGUGAUGAACGCAAGGGACGACCAAUGAUCUGUGCAGGCUAUGGUGGGGCUCUUGAAGAGAGACACAUACACACACACCCGGUACGGUCGGACACACUGUGAUGGGCGGUGAUGUCCUGGUGGAUCGUGGGGCUUUGGGUUAUGAAGUGAAAGGGCCGGAUUGGUUCGGGGAAGCAGUGCAGGUUAACAGGCACAUAGCACUGAACCUCACCUGCUGUCUGAGAUUAAACCGGUGGGCAGCGUGGAUGCCCUGUAAUGGGAGAUCAGCUUCAAUCAAUAACACAAACGUCAAA